rnacentral:misc_RNA from 1 species
GUUUACUUUGCGUUAAGGAAUAUUUGUAUGAGCAUUACUAGGCAUUACUGUAUGGAAGUUUGAUCUGAUAUAAGGAACUUUUGGUGACAAUAUCAACUCCAGUGGCUUAUGAGCUUCAGGCUCGCGAUUUAAAACACUGAUUCAUUGGUUAGCGACACCGGCGGAAUUGUUUUUUGGUAUGUCGUAAACAACCAUAACGACAAACGUCAAUCAAGAGGGUGACUAUACUCGCUUUCUUCAACCUGGAAUAUUUUAUAUAAGAUCAAUGGCAUUGACGUCUUGAGAAAAGCUGAGAGAGAGAGUUCAAUCUUCUUUGAAGUGUUUUUGUGUGGACAAUGAAUAAGAUAUAUCUAGAUACCCUCGGAGUUUAAAUUAUGAAGGACUCUCAGUGUUCGAAUUGUAUAAAAAGAACUGUAAUUUUUUAAGGAUUUUUUUUUCGUAAUUCACACCACCAGCAAUGCCGGUAGCAACUGUACGGAAUUCUAAUGCCACUGCCAAGAAACGGCCAUCUCCUGAGUCCGAGAGUGGCGGAAGCAUGAAGAACAAAGAAAUUUCUAAUUCGUGUAGCGUUGCUAUAGGAACUAACAAAGACUUCAUGGACGACGACGCACACUUAAAAGUAACAUACUCGCCGGGUAAAAAGGGCGGGAAUUUCGGACUUCCGAAUGGCGGGAAACUGAUCUUGCCGGAAGGGCUGUUUGGCAAAAAAGACACUAUUACUUGUCAAGUGGCGUCUCCUUCACAGAGAUGGAAAUACUAUCCCACCCUCCCGUCAUAUGAACACAUCACGAGCGAAAUAUACACGCUACAAUCGACCAUGCAUCCUCUAAAGAAGUCAGUCAUCAUUCAAAUUCCGUAUUACCAAAUCGAGACUGAACACAAUGAAAUAAACGUUAAAGGAAAGUGGAGCGAUGAAAACGAAUGGGUGGAUGUUGGAUUUUUAAAGAAGGAGGAUUGCUCCGUGGAACUAGAGGUGGACAGAUUAGGAAUAUUCAUUGUGACUUUUACCCCUAAAAAGGAGAUCUUUGACGUCACUCCACAAGGCUGUUUGUACAACGCACACAUAAGCCGUUACAUCAGCGUGCGAUUCCCAAAGAAGGCGCAUGACAAACCAUUUCAAUGUGCAAUCCAGAUAAAUCCCAUUCCCAGCGAUAAACUUCAGCUUGCAAAAGAACUCAGCCCCGGGGAAACAGCCGACCUCAUUUUGGCGACGGAGUUUAUCGACCUCAUUCCCAGCACACCUUGCGUUUUCAAACGCGCAGUUUCCGUAAAGCUUCCUCUACCGACUGGAGUUGAAGUGGAGGAGGAGAAUGACGACAUCGCAGUGCUUCAGAAAACCGAAAACGGUUGGGAGUUGGUGGAUUCAAAGUACAAAUUCACAAGAACCACCGUGACGUUCGAUACAAAAUCCCUCACGAAGUUUUGUGUUAUGCAGUCCAAACCAGACAGGAAAAAACGACUUCCGCCCGCAGCGCAAGUCCUAGAAAAUCGCAACAAUCGGGAAAAGGGCGAAAUCGUGGCCUUCUUAAACCUUCAGGAAAAACUUUGGUUUUUGGUUCUAGAGUGCAUGCCACUAAGUAAACUCGAGAGUCGUGUGAAAGAGAUGAGUGAAAAGGGAUUUAAACACGUUGUGAAAGAAAUUGUCAAAAAGGACGAAGGUACCAAUUUCUUUCGGCGGCCACAAAAAUUUCAGCAACCAACACGCCAAUUGCAAGUUCCUCCAACGUGUGAAAUAAACGAUGGCAUGAAAUGGGAAUUUUCAGUAGUGGAUGACAUUAAAGUUAAUUCGGAAAGCAAUUAUAUGGAAAACAGAGAACUCCACUAUUUCCGGUAUUUACCGGAAAGUUACCGACAGUUUGUCAUAGAGCCGAAAACAAACGAAGAACGCGCAAUCAGUGGUGCAAUAAACCUCGAUCCUCUUGGGAUUGAAGACAAAAACCUUAAAGAGAACUGUACAUGUUCCAUUCAUAUUGAAAUCGACGAGGAAACCGUCAAAGCUUAUUUCAAACCGGAGUUCGUACCGGAAGAACCCGAACCUAAGAAAGAAAAGGUUAAUUUCGACAUAUUGAAUACCCCUGUAUUCAAAGAGGACAAACCAGAAGUCCCUGUAAUUCAAAAAUUUAAACCACUCCCGCCAACUGUAAUGGAGAGACUGAUGAGAACCAAUAGAAAGCCAAUUAUAAGUAAGUAUUUCUCUUAUGUUGAAGUCAUACGUUCUAUUGAAAAGAACGAUAACUUUUCCUUUGAAAAGCAAUAUUUUACAACUUUAAAAUCACUUUCCACAUUUUCACUCUCACAAAGAUGCAGAAAAAAUGAACACCAAUUAUCUAUCAGUAUUUAUUGUCAUUUCAUAUUAAACAAGAAUUUUCAGUUUGAUUUAUUUAAUUCUCACUUGUCUUUUUUCGGAUGGGUAUAAAACCUGUUUUAAAUUGAUUUAUGAUAAUUAUCUUAUUUUGAUUCACAGCAAGAGGUAAAGAUUUAAUCAUUUGUUUGCAACAUAGUCAAGACGGCUUUUCAUGUGUAGCUCGAAUUUCAUUUGCAUGAACCGCAUUGCAUGGAUUAAUUAAUUUUAUUUCGAACCACAUUGUUGUUGUAGUUUUAGUAGAAUCCCUAAAUCUUAAAAGAUGCAUGAAUAAUAUACUGAUGAACAAUUGUCAGUAGAAGCUUAUUAUUCGUUUUUAAUAUCCCUCCUGUUAAAAGAUGUUUUAGAAUUCAGCUAGAUAUGGAUGAAAUGUUAGACUUUGUCUUUGGAACAACCCAUAGUGCUACCAAAUAGCAUGCAAACUCAAGUUGGCCAAGGUUCAAUUCAUUAAUUAUGCAUGUGCAUGUAUUAGAUAUUGCCUCUAAAUUGGUGCAUACACAAAAUGUAUGACUAUGCAUGUAUUUUCAAAAUACUAUUUUGUAUUCAUGUAUGUAUCACAAAUCCUGAAUUUCCACUACAGAUUUAUAUGAGAAAUAUCUUUAAAGAUGAAAUAACUUAUAAUGUGUAUAUUUUCAGUUGAAAGAGAGUCAAAAGUUUUGUCUGGAAAGAGUCUGCGCAAUUUAUCUAAAUUGGUCCCGGAAGGUCUGACGUUGGCCGUUCACCUGAAUUUACCCGACAGCACCAUUACUGGCCUCGGUUUCGAUGCCAUUUCAAACGGUCUAAGCAUGGCUGACGUCACAUACAAAAUCCUUCUUUACUGGAAGCGCAUGUGCAAAGACAAGAAGGACGGAGCUGUAAACUCCCUAACAAACGCACUGAGAGACAUGGGCCGGGAGGAAAUCGCAAAUAUCGUGUUCGAACGCCAUCGGGAUAACAAGGAACUGUCCCCAGAUGCUUUCACUCCCUUGUUCACUCCUUAUCAGUAGAUGUCAAAGAGGAAAUCGCUAAUGCAAUAUUCCUAAUGUAAUAUUGAACUGGAAUCCUUAACUUGUAAUGGUCGCAUCAGAGAGCGGCAUAUUUACACGUGUUACAAAAAAACACACCCUGGUAUAUAUGUUAUGCAUUUUUCUUUUGAGCUGUGAUAAAAUUUCGUUAGCAAGCCGUCCAAUAUAGUUUAUUUUACAUAUGUGUAUAACUUACUUGAUUAUUCUUGUAGCAAUCGUAUUUUUUGCAUGCAGCAUAUUACAAGAUUUAUGAUAUAUAUGAAUGUUAUUAAAAGCUUACCUCUUU